rnacentral:rRNA from 1 species
AACGAACGCUGGCGGCAUGCCUAACACAUGCAAGUCGAACGAGACCUUCGGGUCUAGUGGCGCACGGGUGCGUAACGCGUGGGAACCUGCCUUUAGGUUCGGAAUAACUCAGAGAAAUUUGAGCUAAUACCGGAUGAUGUCUUCGGACCAAAGAUUUAUCGCCUUUAGAUGGGCCCGCGUUGGAUUAGCUAGUUGGUGGGGUAAAGGCCUACCAAGGCGACGAUCCAUAGCUGGUCUGAGAGGAUGAUCGGCCACACUGGGACUGAGACACGGCCCAGACUCCUACGGGAGGCAGCAGUGGGGAAUAUUGGACAAUGGGCGAAAGCCUGAUCCAGCAAUGCCGCGUGAGUGAUGAAGGCCUUAGGGUUGUAAAGCUCUUUUACCCGAGAUGAUAAUGACAGUAGCGGGAGAAUAAGCUCCGGCUAACUCCGUG